CAAAACUUCUCCAGAAUAACUUCAAUCUAAAACAUAUCAAGUUUAAAACAAAAUUAUUAUGGCAGUGCCAUUUUGAAUAAAAUUAGUUUUAAUCUAUUGGCUAAAAAAAUGUGUGAAAGAGCCAACAGUCUCUAGUUCGUAGCUUUGUCCAUUCCACUUCUCCGCACUCCUUUCAACGGUGACCUCAUCACGUUCUGUGCAGCCAACAGGAGAUGGCAGCAUUGCUUCAGCCAUUGGAAAGACCCUGCGCCCGAUCCCUUCUUCAAAGAGAAGGCUGGGAGCUGGUGGGGAGCAGAGUUACAGCAGCAGAAAAUGUAACCAGCUAUUUGAAGAGUACCUGGAAAAUCAACAUUUAAUGGAUUUAUGAAAAAAGAGGAGAAAAUGAAGAUCUAAAUAGGCAAGUUUUCUUGCUACCUAUGUUCGGUCUUUACCCUGGUUAAAAAGGAAAAGAUUCAAUAGAUUAUGUUAAAUUGGAGAGUUGCGUUCCAGCCUUUCCUUUGGUUUUAAAAUUCUGUAUUCUUAGAAAUCUUGUUCAGGAGCUAUUUCCCAAAACCCUACCUUUAAAAUAUGGAUUUCUAUUGCUCAUUUUCAUUAACCUUUGAGCUUUAAUUUUCUCAUGCAUGCAUAUGAUAUGCUUGGGCAAUGGUUACUUUUUUAUUUUUUAUUUUUCUAUUUUGAGAAAGCAACCCCUCCAUAAUGGCAUAAGUUUGACUUGUGUGUACUAACCAGAACAUUUUAUUAAUAUGCUAACUCUUUUUCCAUUAAAAUCCUAAGUUAAUGAAUACAUAAAUACAACUAUUAUGGGUUCCCCAGAGACCCAAAGGUGAACGUGAAAUGUAGUCUACCAAUUGGCAGCUUAUAUCACUGCCUGGGUUACUGUAUCAGAAAUAAUGAAAACCAUAGAUGUUUAAUCAUAAUGCAGUCAGAGGUUUACGCUGGCCUCCUAAACAGAAGGAAGGAAGAUCUGAUUUUAAAUGCUGUUUCACCUUUCUUUUUCAAUAUGCUGGAUCUCCUCACUAAAUUGUGAACAAAGACGCUGGUAUUAAUUUUCAUCCCUUUUGACAUACUAAGGACUUUAAAGUGGGAUUUGACAGAGAGUUUUGGUGUGUUUGUAGGGCCAACCGCCGGGCAUCAGAUUGGUUAGUAAAGGUUGUUAUGGUGUGCGUACCAAUCCAUUUGGAAAGCAUUAACUCAGAGAGGGGAAUGCAAUGGCUUAAAUAUAUAUAUGUAUAUAUAGUGUUGUUCAGCCCACACCCACGGAGGGUAUGAAUCCUAGCUCUGCCAGUUAGUGAUUGUGAGACCCUAGAGAAGUCAUUUAGCUUAUAUAAAUUACAAUUCUUUUUCUCUAAAAUAGGAAUACUAAUACUGUCUUAGAGGUUUUUUUGUGGAGAUUAACUGAGAUAAUAUGUCUAAAGUGCUCAGCCCAGUGUCCAGAACAUAAAUCGUAGUGGUUAUUAUGAUCAUGAUGCAGAAUUAUCACAGUAGAUUUAAAUAUGUAUAAAUAUAUAAAAUACAGAUUACUUUUUCUUUGCAAAGCUCGAACCUUUAUAAAGAUAGUUUUAAGAUCUGUUAAAAACUCGGAUAUCCUCCAAGGAAUAGCUUAUAACUUUUAGUUACAUGGUGCUUGAGACAGUAUAUUUGUGUAACCUUCUCAGAAAAGUUUUAUAAAUGGCUUUCAUAGGCCAUAGACUUUAUUAGGGUCCCAGUCCUGAGGGUUUCAUAGAAGCUGUUCUAAAGAUUCUUUAGAAAGAUUGUAGGAAACUGUUCUGCCCAAUGGGAGUUUACGUCUGUUCAGACGCCUGCUCUUGGCUUCAGCUCUCGACUGUGGCUUUGUGCCUCCACAGACAGCAUGCACGUUAACAGCAUUGGCUGUAGACGUUUAGAGUCGUUACUCUGAACAGCAUUUCCCAAACAGGACAUUCAGUUUUGCACACCACUUACAUACUGGAAGUUUAACACAAUGUGUUACUUUUUGUUUCUGUAGAAAUUUUUGUCAUCUAAGGAAAUAAAUGAGUUUAAAUAUUUCCAAAACUAGGCCUUCUGCCUAGAAAACUCUUUCAGAUUUGAUCUUUUGUAUUUUCUUUCAACUACACUUUAGGUUUGUGAACAGAGGUCAGAUUAUCUUGUCCCUCAUCCUGCAUUCUUCUCCGCCAGUCCCUGCUCACCCCCUCCAGCCCCUCAUUUGCACUGUCUGUACCAGCUUAUAGAUUGCAUACCUGAUUAAGAACUUCUUGAAGGUAGGGAACAUUCUCUUUAUAUGCUUUCUCCAAUGCCUAAUAGGAUGUUUUGUUCAAAAGGUGCUUAAAAAAAUGAGGACAUGAAUAUAACUGUGGUCGUGUUGUGUAUAUUCGGAUGCAGGCACUGUCAACUAUGAUGAGGCUAAAGUGGAGGCUUUUUAUUCUCGAAGGAUGACAGUUGAAUACUAUGACAGGGAUCACGUAUGCUACACAUUGAACAAAAACAGUCUUUUUCCCAUUAUAAUUUAGGCUAAUCUAUGAAAGAAUUAAAUAAUACAGAAAGCUAGUUUACUUCAGUAUGUUGAUAACAAGUUACUACAAGGGGUGAAAUAGGCUGAAAAGAGUAAGCUUGGAUAAAUGUAGAGGCAAGAUGUAGAAUGGAUAGUCAAGGGAAGCUGCAUGUUUUGAGUAAAUCUCUGAACUUUGAAGCUAAUGUGAGUAGCUGCCGUCUUGGCGUCUUUGCCUUGAUUGAGCCAUUCUAUUGGACUGGCAGGGCCCUGAUCUUGACAGUAGGGCAGUUCUCAUGCUCACAGAGAGUGUAAUGUAUCAGUUUUAAUUUUGUAAUUAUUUUAUCUUUGUUCCCAGCACCCUUCAUCAUCCUCACCUAGCAAAACCCCAACCUGGUUAGUACAAUACUUCUCCUGGUCCAUUCCUGCAUGCACACAGCUGAGUACCAUUGCAGAAAAGCAUGCAACCAGACCAACUGGCUUCAUGUUGACUAUAUAGGAUGCAGGUAGGAGGUUAGAAGUCGUGGUGGCCAAUUGAUGUUCCUUUCUGAUUGUGUCUACUUUCUUUCAGUGAGAUAAGGAAAUGAGGUCACCAACCAGGAUCAGGAUGAGGAAGGAGGUGAUGGAGAUUUGAGUUGCUGUCAUCUCCCACCUGGAUGGCUGCAGCAGCCCUGUAACCAGUGUCCCUGUGACGUCAGCAGUCUUUUCUCCCAAGCAGCAGCCACAGGGAGGUCAGGGAGGACUUCCUGAAGAAGUAAUUCUCGAACCAAGAUAGGGAAGAAGAGGAGGAGAAGCUGAAUACGCCAAGAGGAGAGAAGAUCCUUCCAGGCAAAGGGAAAUACACCUUCCUGUGGGUGGAAGCGUGGUGAGAGCAAGGGACUAAGGAAGGCCUCAUUCCCUUGUAUCGGACACCUCCCUGAUGGCUGACAUGAGGGCCACCAGGAACGCAGGCUCAGUUCAACACACUGAUGACCGUGAAGUUACUGUGUUAGUCUUUCUGGUCCCAAGUUCAGAAAUUCCAGGGAAAGACUUUGAUGAACCCUCUUGGGUCAGGGGACUAGUUGGAGGGGUGGAGCAGCAUGCCUGGGCCAGCUUGGGUCACUUCCUCACCCUGAGACAAAUCCCUGUGGCCAGAGAGGUGAGAUCUCUAAAAAGAUGGCAGCUACCUCCAAAUCCCCCUUCAAACGUGGAGAGGCACAUUUCCCCCGGAGAACAUGAGGAUGCUCCACUGACUAGACAAGGCACUAGAUGCCCACUGUAGUGACUGAGCAGGAGGGGCUUUUUGUGGUCCAAGAAUUAAGAGGUUGGAGACAUAGUGUUCGGAGAAGCAAGAUGACACCACGUUGGAACUUUGGGAAGAAAAAACCUUAGGAAAAACUUCCUGUAUCAGGAAGUGGCAAGUAAACUGUGAGUAGUGAUAUUUUAGUCAGUUUUAAGUUGAAUAAAUGCCCUGUGCGGUUCCCAGGGAAAGCUGUUGCCUGUGAAAGCUUUGUGUUAAUGGGGCCUGAUCCAAUUAACAAGACGGGCCGUGUCCUCUUCAAGGAGAAGAAGUUUAAUAGAAGAUAGAAACCUGCAGGAGCAGUUGUUCCAUGAUGGAUGGUGACUGCCAACUGAACUGGGAGUUAUAGUUUUUCAGAAAGAAAAAAAGAAGGAAGGUGAUAGGUGAGCAUCAGGAAAAUGCUAGCACCAUUUUCCUUUCCGAUCUCAGCAUCAUCUCGCACUGGUGCUCAGUCCUUCCUAUUUGUCUCUCUACAUCCAUUUUACACCAUCAUCCCAGUUUGUGGAGAGACUGACCUGAAUGAACUGUGUUCAUGAGCAUCCUUGUGUGCUACCCAUGAGAUGACCAGCAGCGUGGGGAGGAGGUGAGGCAGGGUGUUUAGUCCGGGGCUCCCUGUUGGUUCACCCUGGUCCUGUAGAACGACAGGGCAGCAUCUGCUCUCUCCAGGGGUAGUGACAGCUUUCUGCUAUUGUUGGUCCUGAGAUCCUCCUCCAUUCCUUACUUCUCCAAACUCUGCUCACUCUUUUUGUGAACAAUCCCCUUGUUAAACUCUAUUCAAUUUCCCAGUCUGAGUGCACAAUUUAUUUCCUGCUGGGACUCAGGCUGAUAUAAGGACGUGGGGUAUUCUAACUGAACAAUUUUAGGGAGCUAAAGAAGAUAGGGGUGAUUGCAGACUGUUUUGUGGAGUUUGUGUAGAGGCACAAAGACAAAUCUGAGGAGACUGAAGUUAUACCGCAAAACGCCCCACAGAGAACACGCACUCACUGAAACCAGAUGUCUGCAACAGUCAGAGAAGGAAGCAGCCUGAUGCCAAAUGGUCCACAUCCAGGUGAUCAUCACAAAGGUAGAAACAUGAAUUAGAAUACAUUUUGGAGAAGUUUGCAAACGGAUGAUGCCCUUUCUGCAUUAUUGAACUCUAGCCAGUCAAAGGUUCACAGAAAGGUGAUGAUAAUAAUGCACUUUUUCUCUAUUUCUUUGGCGUGUACACCCUCCAGCUUUAAUGUCUCCUUUGUUGUAACAUUUAUUUGGCAUGUCCUGUGAUCCUUGCAUGAUAUUGAUCUAUAAAAUUGGAUGAACAAACAGGCCACCAGUUCACCUGUAUCGAAAUAGCUCUAAAGGGGAAGACAUCUGGGUGGAUAGAUGAGACGGCACUUACGCAGCCAGAGGAACCCAAAAUAAACAGAAGGAAAAAAAAUAAACCUGAGAUGCCGCAGAAUUCGGGAAGCAAUUUAUAUACUAACUCUAUGACGGUGGAGGAACUUUCAGGAGAAAAAGUCUGACAUUAACCUACGAUGGAGACAGCAGGCUGCACUCAGUGAUCGGUAGGCACAGUUUUUGAAAUGAGUGUGCGUUGCACUUGCACUUGCAUUUGUGAGUGUGCACAAUGCUCAUAGAUAGAAGAGAAAGAGCAAGUUAUGGUUCCUUGUUAUGAUCUUAGCUUAGUGCAUCACCUGACAAAGGGCUUUGCAUAUUGAAAAUGUAAGCAUUAGUUGAACAAAUGAACAGAAAUGUCUGCUGAAAAAUGAGCACAAACCACCAGCAUGUUAAUAAAUGAACACUUUUGUUCUCAGUGUAAUGUUCUGCUUGUUUAACUGAUUGUUGUUUUGAUUGCAAUCUCUUCACUGACGAUAGUAUUGAUAAACCUAUCAAAGAGAUAUAUUGAGUGUCUGUUUACUGAAAGUAAAUUGCUGGGAUUUCAAACACCUUUUGGAUCUACUCCUAAAGGAGUUAUAAAACAUCUCUUAAUUUGUUAAUCAUUAAUAUUUGGCCCCUGUGACUUGUGUGUGUAAAUAUACACAGUAGAUGCUCAUUUUGUCAAGUUGUUUCUGACUCAGAUGCUGUGUUUCCUUGGCCACUUCUAACCUGAGCAAAAGUGUGGGUGACAGAGUAGUGAAAAUCCAGAGUCUCCAUCACGAGUCUCCAUCACAUGAACAAGUAGAAGAUGUGUCCCCACAUGGAGGCUUACUGCCAUCGUCUUUAUGUAUUUAUGAAUUUGCAUAGUAACGAAUGCCCUUUUAGGUUGAAUUAUUAGAAUUUUAUCAAUGCCUCGAUCGUUACUUCAAAAACUAAUUUUGUGCCAUCUGUGUUCAUUGGAUGAGAGGAAAAAGGAGAAAAUAUAUUUCAUAUGUCAGACUCCUACAUAAAUGUAGGUGCAGCUUUGACUUGAGAUGCAACACUGGGCUGCUAUGGAAUUUUUACAUGCUGUGUAAUAAAAGUCUGCAAUCUGAUACCUCACACAUCUCCAUUAACCUCCGACAUUGAAUUUGUUCGAUUCUGAUUGUUUUUUCAUUGAUACAAGUGUUUGGUGAGGAAUUAGGAGCUUUCCUUCACAAAUGUUUUGUUUGAUUUACAGCAUUUUGGGCUGUGAUAUUCCUGGUUAGAAUACUUUACUGUUGAAUUCUUUAAAAAAAAAAAUCAGUGGAACUCCCAGAGGAUAAUGUGCAUCAGUUCUAUGUUAAAUUCUUUGUUCAGACUUAUUAUUUCAGCCUCCAAAAUGUGUUUUCACUAACAUAAUAGCGUGAUAAAUGCAAAAAGUGUGUGCGCAGCUUUAAACAUUUGGAAAUGCUUCUAAAGGUCGCUUUUCUACUGGGCAGCUUACUUUUUCUAUAAAGCUGUUUCUGUUCCAUACCCUACUGUCCCAAGGUUUCCAAAAGUUGAACAUGAACUCUGGAGGAAUUCUCCUUUGGACUUAAAAACUGGAGUUGCCUGGCAGACAGUUUUUAUUCUUGUCUGACUGAGUUCCCCAGCUUUCUCCCUUCUUGUGUCCUUGGACAUCAGUUUCACUUGUUUUCCUUUGAAUGGGUCAGAGUGGUUUCUCAACUUACAGUACAUAAACCUCCCAGCUAAGUGUCAUGUUCGUCCUGGACUGUCCAUGCUGCUCCACUCUCCUGUUUAACCUUCCUCAUCACCUCCUCUCCUCCAGCACUUAGUAGACAUGAACCAUCAAAAUUCAAUGCCACCACCAAAACAGCCUACAUCACGAAGACAGUCUACCCCUUUACACCCGUAUCUGCUCUUCCCGAGCUGGCAGCCAGUAGCCACAUGUGGCUGUUCAGCACCUGCCGUGGAGCUAGUCCAAAUUGAGAUGGGCUGUAAGUGUGAAGCAUGUACCAGAUUUCCAAGACUUAGUGCAAAUAAAAAGGAUGUAAACAUCUUAUUAAUAAUUUUUACAUUGAUUACAUGUUGAAAUGGUGAUAUUUUAAGCUUGUUGGUUUAAAUAUAAUGUUUCAUUAAGAAAUUAAAAU
ensembl:lncRNA